rnacentral:rRNA from 1 species
GAUCUAGCCAUGGGCAGGUUGAAGGUUGAGUAACAUCAACUGGAGGACCGAACCGACUAAUGUUGAAAAAUUAGCGGAUGACUUGUGGCUAGGGGUGAAAGGCCAAUCAAACUCGGAGAUAGCUGGUUCUCCCCGAAAGCUAUUUAGGUAGCGCCUCGGACGAAUACCGUGGAGAGGGAAACAACCCAGACCGCCAGCUAAGGUCCCAAAGUAUUGCUAAGUGGGAAACGAUGUGGGAAGGCUCAGACAGCUAGGAUGUUGGCUUAGAAGCAGCCAUCAUUUAAAGAAAGCGUAAUAGCUCACUAGUCGAGUCGGCCUGCGCGGAAGAUGUAACGGGGCUAAGCAAUACACCGAAGCUGCGGCAAUGUCUUUUAGACAUUGGGUAGGGGAGCGU